UAGGGAAUCUUCCGCAAUGGGCGAAAGCUUGACGGAGCAACGCCGCGUGAGUGAUGAAGGUCUUCGGAUCGUAAAACUCUGUUAUUAGGGAAGAACAAAUGUGUAAGUAACUAUGCACGUCUUGACGGUACCUAAUCAGAAAGCCACGGCUAACUACGUGCCAGCAGCCGCGGUAAUACGUAGGUGGCAAGCGUUAUCCGGAAUUAUUGGGCGUAAAGCGCGCGUAGGCGGUUUUUUAAGUCUGAUGUGAAAGCCCACGGCUCAACCGUGGAGGGUCAUUGGAAACUGGAAAACUUGAGUGCAGAAGAGGAAAGUGGAAUUCCAUGUGUAGCGGUGAAAUGCGCAGAGAUAUGGAGGAACACCAGAGGCGAAGGCGACUUUCUGGUCUGUAACUGACGCUGAUGUGCGAAAGCGUGGGGAUCAAACAGG
rnacentral:rRNA from 1 species